AAGAAAAAUAAUAAUAUUUAUAUUGAUACCGAACUAUUAAUAGCUACAAUACAAGAAGAAAAAUGUAUUUAGAAUUUCUCUUGCGAGGAUUAUAAAAACCGUGAUAAGAAAUAUGCUGCUUUUGAACGUGUGGCUGAAAUAUUGAUUGCAGAUUUUAGUAAUAAGUCUGAGCUAGAAAAGAAGGAUUCAGUUGCUCUAGUGCAAAGAAGAUGAAGGACUGCCAAAGACGCUUAUAUGAGAGAUAAAGCCAAACUUAAAAAUGUUAAGAGUGGAAGCGCUGCUAAGAAAUAUAAGAAGUAUAUAUUUUUCGCCUCGAUCGGACAGUAAAAGUAAAUGAGACUGAUACAAAUUAUGAAGAUGCAGAGGAGAGUGGAGCACAGAAUCCGCAGAAGUUAGAUUAGAAUUGAAACAUUUGAAAGAAAGAAACGUAAGAGGGAUACGGAUACUGAUCAGGACCUCAUAAACUUACUUAAUGGUACUGAAGAAGCGGAGGAAGAUGAUGAUAGGGCAUUUUUUACUUCACUUUUACCUACCGUAAAAUCAUUUGACAAGGCAAAGAAACUACAGUUUCGUGCAGAAGUUAUGCGUUUUAUGCUUGACAUUAAAAACAUUCCCGUAUAUCAACCACGGAAUGCUCUCUCAGGAAAUAGUAGUAUUUAUUCUAGGGUUACUCCUUCACCAGCACCAUCCUGGAGUAGUGCUUACUCGUACGAGGUGUCUAGGCCUAACUUAGGAUCUACCAUUAACUUACAAGAGGGUCACAAUUAUGUGCAUUCAAUACAGAAUCCGAUCGCAGCAUCACAUUAUUCUAACUACACUGCGAUUCCUGCACCAUCACCAACUGAAUCCAUAUCACAAGCAACAAUGCAAAGGAUUUUAUUGACAUUCGAAAAUAUUUAUAACAUUU